GUUUUUUUUUUGUAGUGGGAAAAAUUCCUAAGCAACCGAAUAUGGACGUAUGUAAUAAUAGUUAUCAUAGAUCGCAGAGGGCGGAAUGCAUAAUUGCUAUGAAACAUUUUUUUAAGCUUGGCAUUGGUGAAUAAGAUGCAAUGAAAAUGUACAAGAAUAAGUACAAAUUCACCUCGGAGGUGGUAGCAUAUGGCUGCAUCUACCAACUUGCACACAAAACAUCUAUGGUCUAUGAACACCUGACUGAUGCUUUAGAUGAAUUUAUUGGCAGUGUGGUUUUUGGUUAGCCACUGAUGUUCUAGUUCAUGUCUCGAGUUUGUGAAGAUGAGCGGAAGAGCCAGAUAUGGGUCACAGAGGAUGGCACUAUGGAUAAAUAUAACGACUCAUUUGAGGAUGUCCUCCUACUCCAAAACAAUCCACAGUUAAUGGACAAAAACUUCAACAUCCUCCGGGAGAGAAUCGGCACAAACACAUUACAAAUAGAGAUGCUAGCAUACAAAUACACCAACUGAAAGAACAUGCGGUGCCCCAUGUUUGGUUUUGGUAAUUGAUAACAAUCUCUAUGGACUAAUGGUUGCCUUGAGUUAUAUUUGAAGGUUUUGUCCAUAGGCUUUUCUUGGAGUACAUGUGUUUGUUUCAAGGAGAGUUUGUGUCUAUCAAGGUGUUAUUCAAGGAAUUAUCCAAAGAUUAGUCAUGUGAGAGUUGAGCUUAUUGCAAGCAUGUCUUGAAGAAGAAGAUUGUGUGAUCAUUCAUGUCUACCUUUGUAACGCCCGGAUAAUUAAGCUACAGUAAUUUUCUGCUGAUGAUGCCACGUCAUCACUGUUACUGUUGUUAAACUCGCGUUGGUUCGUAUCCGGUCCAAAUUUAAAUUUAAAAUAAAGUCAAAAAUAAAAGUUUUUUUUUAAUGUCAAAACCAAAAUGUGCAGGCUGUGGAAAAUAAUUCAUAAAUAUUAUUGGAGAAGAAACCAAAUUCUUAUAAGAUGUUUAGGUGCUCAAAAAUAAAUAAAACAGUGGCUUAAACAAUUAUUCAAAUGCCUUUUGUAAUUUCUAAAAUGUUAAGCUAUUUUAUUUUUGGGUGAAACUUUUUGUGGCAUUGGUAUAAUUAGGAAUAAUAUUUUAGGAACAAAUUCUAUAUUUUAUAGAACUCUAAUAAAUUAAAAGUUGAGUGAAAACAGAGCAGAAAAUAAACAAUAGAAAAAUAAAACCCAAACAACAAAACAAAACAAAUCCCCUCCCCAUCUCCCCUGUUCACGCGAUCGUGGACACCGGCGAUGGCCGCCACGGCAGAGGGCGUCGCCGUGGCGCCCAUCCGCCACCCCUCCGGCGCCUACUUAACCGGUGUCCCCCCUCUCCACGCGAACCCUAAUCCCCACUUCCCCCCUUGCGCCCCCAACCCCUCGAGCCCGCCCCGUGGAUGCCCGGAGCCGCGUCGCCAUUGGUCCUCGCCUUCCCGUCGCCUCGUCGACACGUCUUCCUCCGCCACGGACACCGCACACUCAUCGUCGAUUCGUUUCACCACGAGUCCCUCCAGCAUCACCGAGCAGCUCCUAGUCAACAAUGUGAGCAGGCGCCCGAACCCCUUCUGUUUCACCAUCUAAUCCGUGCCCAUUGCCUAGCUAGACGUCGCGUCCGAAGCUCACCAUCGCAGUUCAUGUCGCCACCGCGGCCACUGCUCGCGAAGCUCACGACGAGCUCCGCUUCGUGUUCCUGGAGUUCUCAGGAACCCGUAGCACCCAACCCCGUCGCUUCCCGUGUCCUACAUCGCCUCCUUGAGUUCUCCAUGGCGCCAUCGAAGCAUCGCGUCCGCGCUCCUGCGCGCUCGUGUAACCGCCGCGGCCUGUCCGUGCCCACCUGCGCUGCUGCCGCUAGUUGCUUCUGCUGCUGAUGGCUGCUGCUCUCGCCGCCGUUCUCUGCCACUUGUGUUCGCCUGCAACUUUGCUGCUGUCGCCGGCGCUCCCUGCGUGCGCCCGCCGGAGCACCCCGGCCGCGCCCGCGCAUACGCGCGCCCGUCCGCCUCGUGCACGGCUUUGCCUCCCCUGCUGCAGCGCCCCAGCCCGCUUGCUCCCACCGCUACUUGCUGUAUUGAUGCUUGUACUGUAGUCUGUAGGUGCUGCUAGCUAGCUUUGCAAAUCCUACACUAACUAACCCUUUGGACAGCCUCUAAACAUACACUAAACAAUUGUUAACAGGUCUAAGAAGAAUAUGAGUAGAAAGUAUACUUGACAAACUUCAUUUUAUCCCACUGGACCAAAUCCUUUCGAUGCAUCGAUUAAAUCCUAUAAAAAUCACAAAAUGCCAUCUUCUCUUACACCUAGCAUUGUGUGUGUAUACAGCCACCACUGCCCGGGCCGUACAAAUUAGUUUAGGGGAUAAUUUCUAGUUAGUUUAAUUGCUAGCCAAUGAUAAGAGGGGCCCAUGUUUAGAUUAGAUAAAUCUACUUAGGAAUUUAAUAAAACUAAUUAACUUUUAGUUAAUUUCGCUGACAUGUGGCCCUGCUGUAAAUUAAAAUGAUAGAUUAAACUAAAAGUGCCUAAGUCUAUGACAGCCGGGACCCACCUUUACUAUUCACUGCUGACUGGACCCUCCCUGACCCACUGUCAGCCUCUGUGUACACAAAGCUGGCUACACAUAGCAAUUUGUUAUUUAAUUUUGAAUUAAAAUAAUUUCAAAAUAUUGUUUAAAUCUUUGAAAAAUCAUAGAAAAUAAUCCGUAACUCGGAUGAAAAAGUUUUAUACAUGAAAGUUGCUCAGAACAACGAGACGAAUCCGGAUACGCAGCCCGUUCGUCCGCCACGCAUCCCGAGCAUAGUGAACAUACAAAUUUUCCCCUCCGAUUCAUCUGUCCGAAAACGCGAAACACCGAGGAUAUUUUCCCGGAUGUUUCCCCCCUUCACCGGUAUCACCUCAUACCGUGUUAGGGCACCCCUAGCACCGUUACUUGACAUGUCAUGCAUCGUCAUGCAUCUGUUUGCUUAAUAUUUAUUGUUUCUUUCCCCUCUUCUCUCGCUAGACACCGAGACCGACGCCGCUGCUACCCAGUACGACUACGGUGUUGACGAUCCCUUUCUCUUGCCAGAGCAACCAGGCAAGACCCCCCUCUUGAUCACCAGAUAUUGCUUACUCUUCUCUAUACUGCUUGCAUUAGAGUAGUGUAGCAUGUUACUGCUUUCCGUUAAUCCUAUCCUGAUGCAUAGCCUGUCAUUGUUGCUACAAUUGUUGAUACCUUACCUGCAAUCCUGCAUGCUUAGUAUAGGUUGCUAGUAGUUCAUCAGUGGCCCUACAUUCUUGUCCGUCUUCCAUGCUAUACUUUCGGGCCGUGAUCACUCGGGAAGUGAUCAUGGGUAUAUACAUACAUAUAUACAUACUAUCAAGCGGUGACUAAAGUCGGGUCGGCUCGUUGAGUACCCGCAAGUGAUUCCGAUGUUGGGGGCUGAAGGGGCAGGUGGUUCCACCCAGGUAGUGGUGGGCUUGGGUUCCCGACGGCCCCCGACUAUUACCUUGAGGCGGAGCGACAUGGCAGGUUGAGACCACCUAGGAGAGAGGUGGGCCUGACCCUGGUCGGCUUCCGUGGAUAUGUCAGCAUAACAUGCUUAACGAGAUCUUGGUAUUUGAUCUGAGUCUGGCCGCUGGCCUAUACGCACUAACCAACUACGCGGGAACAGUUAUGGGCACUCGACGUCGUGGUAUCAGCCGAAGCCUUCCUGACGUCAGCGACUGAGCGGUGCGCGUCGGGUUGGACUGGAACGCCUGCUCUUGUAUAAGGGAGGCUAGGUCUGCUCGCCGGCCGCGUUCGCAACGUGCAGGUGUGCAAUGGGCGAUGGGCCCAGACCCCUGCGCCAUAGGAUUUACACCGGCAUGCUGACCUCUUUGUUGUGCCUAGGUAGGGUUGCGACGUGUUGAUCUUCCGAGGCCGGGCAUGACCCAGAAAAGUGUGUCCGGACAAAGGGGAUCAAGCGUGUUGGGAAAUGUGGUGCACCCCUGCAGGGAAGUUAAUCUAUUUGAAUAGCCGUGAUCUUCGGUAACAGGACGACUUAGAGUUGUACCUUGACCUUUUGCCAACUAGAACCGGUUACUUAAUAAAACACACCCUUCCAAGUGCUAGAUACAACCCGGUGAUCGCUCUCUAACAGGGCGAUGAGGAGAGGAUCGCCGGGUAGGAUUAUGCUACACGAUGCUACUUGGUGAACUUACCAUCUACUCUCUUCUACAUGCUGCAAGAUGGAGGUUGCCAGAAGCGUAGUCUUCGAUAGGACUAGCUAUCCCCCUCUUAUUCCGGCAUUCUGCAGUUUAGUCCACAUAUGAUACCCCUUUUCCAUUUGAUACCAAUGCAUACAUAUGUAGUGUAGCUCCUUGCUUGUGAGUACUUUGGUGAGUACUCACGGUUGCUUUGUUUCCCCUUUUCCCCCUUCCUAUACCCGAUUGCUGCGACCAGACGAUGGAGUCCAGGAGCUAGAAGCCACCGUUGACGAUGACUCCUACUACACAGGAGGUGCCUACUACUACGUGCGGCCCGCUGACGACGACCAGGAGUAGUUUAGGAGGAUCCCAGGCAGGAGGCCUGCGCCUCUUUCGGUCUAUAUCCCAGUUUGUGCUAGCCUUCUUAAGGCAAACUUGUUUACUUACGUUUGUACUCAGAUAUUAUUGCUUCCGCUGACUCGUCUAUGAUCGAGCUCUUGUAUUCGAGCCCUCGAGGCCCCUGGCUUGUAAUAUGAUGCUUGUAUGACUUAUUUUAUUUGUAGAGUUGUGUUGUGAUAUCUUCCCGUGAGUCCCUGAUCUUGAUCGUACACGUUUGCGUGUAUGAUUAGUGUACGAUUGAAUCGGGGGCGUCACAACCUUCAAGACAUCAUCCAAAUGAAGAGAAUUGGAAAGGUUUAAGGUUGAUCAAGACUAAGUCAAGAGUGAAUCAAGUUGAUCAACUCACAAAGCGCAGAAGAUGUACCGAAAGGGAUCAAGUGGUCCCAUGGUAUGGUAAGCAUUGUCAAUUACGCUUUGUAUACUAACCCAUGGUCUUCGUGAGAGUUCUGUGUGGGGUUAGGUUGCCGUGUGCAAGUUCAAGUGAUGCAUCACAAAGAGAUCAAGUGCUUGAAGCUUGCCUUCCAUUGUGGUGACAAUGGACUUGUGAAGAUGUGCGUAAGAGUUUCUCACCCAUAGUGGAGUAUGGGGGAGCAAUCUACUAGUCUUCACCAAGCCACCGCAAUCAAGAAAGGUGGUCCAACUUGAGAAAGUCAAGAUCAUCAUCAUGUAGCUCAAGUGGACUAUGUGCAAGACAAAGGUUUGCCCUUGAUAGGUUUUCUAUUUUACCGGUCUCAUAGUGGUAGUCGGGAGACCGGGUUAUAGGAUUGAUUGCCGUACUAUCAAGAGGGGCUCUCGAUGAGUAGCUUGAUCGUAUCGUUCGUAGAGAGUUCAAACCAUUGCAUCCUUGCAUCAUCUUUAUUGGUUCUUGUUUGGUUCUUCUCUUUGUGAGUUUUGGAGCUUAUGGUCAUCUUGAUGACAAGCUCGAGUUCAUCAAAAACGGAGUUCACAUGCAUCUUCUAUGAUGUUUUCGAUGUUGGAGGUUUUGCCGGUUCUUCUCGGUUGGAGGUUUGAUACGUCUCCAACGUAUCUAUAAUUUUUGAUUGCUCCAUGCUAUAUUAUCUACUGUUUUGGACUAUAUUGAGCUUUAUUUUCCACUUUUAUAUUAUUUUUGGGACUAACCUAUUAACCGGAGGCCCAGCCCAGAAUUGUUGUUUUUUGUCUAUUUCAGUGUUUCGAAGAAACGGAAUAUCAGACGGAGUCCAAACGGAAUAAACCUUUCUGGAACGUGAUUUUCUUCCCGAAUAUGACCCAGGAGACUUGGACCCUACGCCAAGGAAGCUUCGAGGUGGGCACGAGGUAGGGGGCGUGCCGUAUACCCCAAGGCGCGCCCCCCACCCUCGUGGGCCCACCGAAACUCCACCGACGUACUUCUUCCUCCUAUAUAUACCUACGUACCCCCAAACGAACAAAGACGGAGCCAAAAACCUAAUUCCACCGCCGCAACUUUCUGUAUCCACGAGAUCCCAUCUUGGGGCCUGUUCCGGAGCUCCACCGGAGAGGGCCGUCAUCACGAAGGGCUUCUACAUCAUCAUAGCCUCUCCGAUGAAGUGUGAGUAGUUUACCUCAGACCUUAGGGUCCAUAGUUAUUAGCUAGAUGGCUUCUUUUCUCUUUUUGGAUCUCAAUACAAAGUUCUCCCCUCUCUCGUGGAGAUCUAUUCGAUGUAAUCUUCUUCUUUUUGCGGUAUGUUUGUUGAGACCGAUGAAUUGUGGGUUUAUGAUCAAGUCUAUCUAUGAAUAAUAUUUGAAUCUUCUCUGAAUUCUUUUAUGUAUGAUUGGUUAUCUUUGCAAGUCUCUUCGAAUUAUCCGUUUGGUUUGGCCAACUAGAUUGGUAGUUCUUGCCAUGGGAGAAGUGCUUAGCUUUGGGUUCGAUCUUGCGGUGUCCUUUCCCGGUAACAGAAGGGGCAGCAAGGCACGUAUUGCAUCGUUGCCAUCGAGGAUAACAAGAUGGGGUUUAUUUCAUAUUGCAUGAAUUUAUCUCUCUACAUCAUGUCAUCUUGCUUAACGCGUUACUCUGUUUUUAACUUAAUACUCUAGAUGCAUGCUGGAUAGCGGUCGAUGAGUGGAGUAAUAGUAGUAGAUGCAGAAUCGUUUCGGUCUACUUGUCACGGACGUGAUGCCUAUAUACAUGAUCAUGCCUAGAUAUUUUCAUAACUAUGCUCAAUUCUGUCAAUUGCUCAACAGUAAUUUGUUCACCCACCGUAGAAUACUUAUGCUCUUGAGAGAAGCCACUAGUGAAACCUAUGGCCCCCGGGUCUAUUCUCAUCAUAUCAAACUCCAUCACUUUAAUCUUGCUUUGCUUUUUACUUUGCCUUUUUAUUUUCACUUUGCAUCUCUAUACCAAAAAUACCAAAAAUAUUAUAUCUAUCAGAUCUCACUCUCGUAAGUGACCGUGAAGGGAUUGACAACCCCUAAUCGCGUUGGUUGCGAGUAGCUAUCGUUUUGUGCAGGUACGAGGGACUUGAGCGUGGGCUCCUACUGGAUUGAUACCUUGGUUCUCAAAAACUGAGGGAAAUACUUACACUACUCUGCUGCAUCAUCCUUUCCUCUUCGGGGAAAUCCAACGCAAGCUCAAGAGGUAGCAAGGUUUUGAUGCUACUCGUCAUCUUGUUUCCAACAAACUUGAGUUUGCUCAAUUCGGAGCUCAUAUGCAGAAGUUAUGGCAGUUCUGGUUUUCCAUAGAGUAUACUUGCUUUUGUGGAAGUGGCAUAAGGAUGGCGCCAGCGGUAGUACCGCUGGGCCGGAGCGGCAGUACCGCUUAUCGCCACAAACGGUAGUACCGCUGUCCCACAGCAGUAGUACCGCCCAUGGCCAUAAGCGGUAUUACGGCUCCGGUUUCGCGUUGGUACCGCCUCAACUCAAGACGUGGUUUUCUCGUGUCGGGUUCAGCGGCAGUAGGAGCGGUAGUACCGCUCAUGUGCGGUAGUACCGCGGCUACCACCGCCCCUAGUACCGCUCAAUGGCCCUCCUCCCUGUUCCUUCUCCAUGUGCUCGUGGUAGGCGCUAUGCGUGGUCCCAGCGGUAGUACCGCUGACUCCAGCGGUAGUGUCGCUCAUACGGCUCUGCCUCGCACUCUGUUUCGGUCCGCUCAUACGGCUCAUACGGCUCUGCCUCGUGCGCGGACUGAGCACAUAACGAUUGGAUUCGGGAGCUCCUAUAAAAGGGAGUCUUCUUCCCCAUUCAACCUUAUCCUUUGAGCUCAUGUUCUUCCCCCAUUGUUGACCUUCUUCGAGCUUGCUAACUCUCAAUCCCUCCAUGGAUUAUUGCUAGUUUUUGAGGGAAAAGAGAGAGGAGAUCUAGAUCCACAUUUCCACCAAUCACUUUCUCCUCUUUGUGAGGGGAACCCCUUAGAUCUAGAUCUUGGAGUUCUUGGUGCUCUCCUUCUUGUUAUUCCUCUCAUUUUCUUCCCUAGCAUUAGUUGCUUUGGUGGGAUUUGAGAGAGAAGGACUUGGGCACUCCGUGUGCCCUUUCCAUUACAUUUGGUGCAUCGGUUUGAGUUCUCCAUGGUGAUACGUGGAAGUUACAAGUUGAGAAGCUUAUUACUCUUGGGUGCUUGGUACCAUUGAGCUUGUUCCUCUUGGGUGCUUGGGCACCCUAGACGGUUGGUGGUGUUCGGAGCUCAAUCAUUGUGGUGUAAAGCUCUGGGCAAGCGUCGGGGUCUCCAAUUAGGUUCUGGAGAUCGCCCCGAGCAAUUUGACGGGUACCGGUGACCGCCCCCAAGGGUUGCCAAAGUGUACGGGUUCGGUGACCGCCCCCAAGGGUUGCCAUUUGUACGGGUUCGGUGACCGCCCUCAAGGUUCCCUUAGUGGAAUCACGGCAUCUUGCAUUGUGCGAGGGCGUGAGGAGAUUACGGUGGCCCUAGUGGCUUCUUGGGGAGUAUUGUGCCUCCACACCGCUUCAAACGGAGAUUAGCAUCCGCAAGGGUGUGAACUUCGGGAUACAUCAUCGUCUCCGCGUGUCUCGGUUAUCUCUUACCCGAGCCCUUUACUUAUGCACUUUACUUUGUGAUAGCCAUAUUGUUCUUUGUCAUAUAUCUUGCUAUCACAUAGUUGCUUAUCUUGUUUAGCAUAAGUUGUUGGUGCACAUAGGUGAGCCUAGUUGUUUCAGGUUUUGUGCUUGGCAAAUUAACCGCUAGGUUUAUUCCGCAUUUGUUCAAGUCUAAACCGUAAUUAUUUUGAAGCGUCUAUUCACCCCUCCACCCCUCUAGGCGACAUCCACGAUCUUUCACCAACUCUGAAACAAUCCACAAUUAGCGGACAAAAGUCUCAACAUCCUCCAGGGGAGAGUCGGCAAAACACAUUACAAAUAGAGAUGCCAGCAUACAAAUAGACCAAUUUAAGGGCUCCUUUAAUUCAAAGAAAUUGCAUACAACUUCUGUAGGAUUGGAUCCUACUAGAAUUUUUCUUAUCUUUGUACUACUUCCUAUAGGAAAUCUAGCAAUCACUACAAUCUCCGUUUAGAAUUUCUUUGAUGGAAUCUAAAGAAUUUGGUUGCAUACAAAAUCCUGUAGGAUUUGAGCAGGUAAGACACUGCAAUCCCCCUAUCCUAUGAAUUCUCAUAAACGCGGAGUGUUAGAAACAAGAGAUUCUUAUCAAAGUGUACAACCUACUAAAACUGUCUUCAGUUUCCGCUCAUUAGAAAAUCAUCUUGCUGAAGAGAGAAUUCCUUAUUUAACACUGUCUAAAGCUUUGUUUUCUCUAUUUGGCACUGAAAAAAGAGAUAUUUCUUCCCUAUCUAACACAACCUUUAAAUUUUGUUCCCAAUAUAACAAUUUUUUUUCAUGCAAACAAUGCUAAAUGACAUGAAAUGACAAACAUCUAUUCAAUCCUUUUCUCUAUUCCAGUGUCUUAUUUAAGGCUGGAGUCCACGGUUAGUGUAACAGAAUAACACAAAAGGUUCAAGUACGUUGUCUUAUUUAAGGGAACCGUUGUGUAGCACAAGCAAGGCCAAAGGCUCAAGUACGUACAUACAUACGCAGCUAGAGACGAGCACGUUCUUCUUCUAGGGUACGCUGAUGGUUAUCGAAAGCUGGCUAGACUCUGCACCUUCGUUCCUGACAAGCAGACUCCUCACGGACUGCUCAGGAACACUUUCCUUGAAUAAAGCUCUUGAAUGUUGCCUGCAAAAAAAAAAGUUAAUCAAGUUGCCUGUGUAUUUCUGAGCUCGCACGGCGUGCGCUGCAUUUGAGUGAAUCGAUCUAGCAUUCUAAAAUCAACACUCCACCACGGGCUCGCCCAACACCCGCCCGCUCUCGUCCGCUGUGCUUUGGUCGCCCCUGGUGGGAGCUCCUAUUCGGUGCUCCAGGCGCCAGGGAAGCUCACGCGCUGGCACAGGUGGGCCGGCCCAUGUACACAUUCACAUUGGAGAAAAAAUGAAAAAAAGAACAGGAAAAAACAUGAAAAACCAAAAGAAAACAUGAGUUCAAAAAAGUUCAUGGAUUUUUAAAAAAUCUUAAACUUGAAGAAAAAGCUCAUCAAUUUGAAAAGAAGUUCAUAAAUUUAUCUUAAAACACCAUUGAAUUUGAAAAAAAUAACAAAAAAGUUUAUCGAUUUUGAAAAAAGUUCACCUAUUUUUAAAAAAUCAUCAUUUUUGCAAAACUUUCUACUCUCUCUCUCUCGGUUUACAGGGCGUGCGCGCACUCCUAGGUCAUCAAUUUGACCAAACUAAUACAAGUCAUAUAUUACAAAAAAUAUACCAAUAUAAACUUUGGAGUUUCUACUCUCAAAAUGUAUAAUUUUUGUGUUAUAUACUCCCUUCAUUCCUAAAUAUUUGUCUUUCUAGAAAUUUCAAAUGGACUACCACAUACGGAUGCAUAUACACAUAUUUUAGAGUGUAGAUUCACUCAUUUUGCUCCGUAUGUAGUCACUUAUUGAAAUCUCUAAAAAGACAAAUAUUUAGGAACAAAGGGAGUAGUUUAUAUUAGGGUGAUAAAAUUGGCAACCUAGGUAUACGCGCAGGACUUGUAAAUUGAAACGGAGGUAGUAUAAAAAUCAACAAUUUAAAAAAAAAGGUCAUCAAUUCUAUAAAAAGUUCUUAAAAUUGAAAAAAAAAUCAUCAUUUUAAAUAAAAAAAACUUCACCAAUUCUGAGAAAAGUUCACGAAAUUUAAGUAAAAAAGAAAAAAAUAGCUAAAUGGGCCGGCCCAGCUUAGAGGGCUUCAUGAGCUCGUUUGCAAAAUGAACAGUAACGAACCCAUGAAGCACCAAAUAGGUGCGAAGGAAAUGAGUGACCUGACCUGAUUGGUGCUUCUAGUGCCAGGGGUAAACUUGUCAUUUCACGUGUUAUAUGGGGAACAGGAUUUCAACCGAAUUUUUUAUUAUUAAUAAUUAAUAACCCAAUAAUUUGGAAACUAGUGACGGGGAAGUGGAAAUUUUAAAAAUAGUAAGGACGCUAAGUACAAUGGCGUCCACAGCUGGAUACUAUCGAGGAUAGCGUCCAGGUCUGGACGCUAUUAGUAAGUGCGUCCAGUCAAGUGAUUCGCCUAACCAUCAGAUUCGACUAAACCGGGUCUUUCCUAAUGACAGACAGAAGUUACGCGAGGUUUAAAACCCUAGUACGCAUGCAGUCUGCGCUCCUGGAACUCGCCGUAUGGUAAGCAAUCUCUGGCAGCCGGCAACACCGAUCAUCACAGGAGCGGCAAGGUCUCAUCAGCCGCUCGCCAUUAGGAUCCUCCAAUUGACUUUGUGCUUGAUUCAUGUUAGUUGUUGUACUGUCCUACUGAAUCUCCUUUGUUUUAAUCUUUAUGCAAUUGAUUCAAUGAUUUACAAGCAGACACUCUAUAAAUGAUUGGAUUGGUAUUCCUGAAUUACAAUCCUUAAUUGGGUGGUUUGUGAGAAGCCAAAUUUUCAGUCGUGAGUCUAUGGUAGAUCAAUUUAAAAUUGUGAUAUUCACUUGCUGCACGUUCAUGUUUGUAGGUGCAUAUAAGAAUAUGUUAAUCGUUCUGGUUUACGUGGAUGGUGAAGUGCAACAUGGGUCCAUGAGUGUGGAGUAUACUAUUCCUCCCAAGUUAACAUUUCCAGCAUCCGAGAAUACCACUUUUGAAGAUAUCAAGAGUGAGACAUGUCGAGGACUUGCACAUGUUAAUGUCAGUGCUCAAACGAACCUGAAUAUCCAAGCUUGCUUUGAUAUUGGAGCUCCUGGACCACAUUAUUUUCAGUUAAUUCCAAUAUAUGAGGAAAGAGGGUGGAACAUGAUUUUUGAGAAGACCAAGUCCCGGACAACGUGGCAAGUGAUAGAGUUAUAUGUUAACAUCACGCCAAAUCAAGACAUGUUGAGCCAAGUCAGCGGUGGAAGCAACAUACCAAUAAUUGAAAGGCACUUACAAAGGUAUGGAAGUGCAGUGCACUCGUCAUUGCAUCAAACAUCUGCCAGUGGUUUUCCAAAUUCUAGUUCGUGUGGUCUUGAUUUCGACAUGGCACAUGCUCCAUCUUCUACUCAUGGUACUGUGACAAAUGAUUUUCCAACAGGUACUGUCAAUGACCCAUAUGAUCAGGAGGAUACAGAGACAGAGGAGGAUUUUAUGGGACAUGAUGAUGAUGAGCAUGAUUCCGAUGCCGCACCUAGCCAGAGUUCAGACGAAGAUCCAGAACCAAGCGUUAUGCAUCAUGUUAAUGCAUUUCCAUUCAUGCGUACAUGUGGACAGAAUGGCGUGAGAGCCUUUGGUGACAUAUCUAUACUAACGGAGACGACAGCAGAUGAAAGUUUUUUUGGAUGCAAGAAGCACUUUCAAAGCCCAUUGUCAGAGCAGCAAAUUUUUGAUUCAAAAGAGCACCUCAAAAUUGCGAUUGGUGAAUUUCACAUAAACAUGAACUUGAAAGUGAAGUCCAACACAAGCAGUCAAUCUAAACUUGUAGCAGAGUGUAUUGAUGACAGUUGCAUGUGGAGGUUGUAUGCAAUACCAACAAAAAUUGGUUCAUGUUGGCAAAUAAGGAAAUGUCCUUAUUCUCACACUUGUCGUGCACCGGCUAAUAGAACUGACCAUUCUCAGUUAUCGGCCUCUAUAAUUGCAGAUGUGAUUCGUGAAGCACUCAAGGAUGACCUAGAGUUAAGUAUAAAAAAUGUGCGGGCAUUGGUCAAACACCGUUACAGAAAUGUGAGACCAUCAUACAAUAAGUUGUGGCGUGGAAGGGAGAAGGCCAUAGCAUAACUUUUUGGUAGCUGGGAAGGAUCAUACAAUCUUCUCAUCCCCUUCCUCGAGGCUAUUAGAGUAAAAAAUCCAGGUACAAAGUAUGUUCUUCUAUCAAAACCCAUGACAUUAGAAGGGCAUAGAGAAUUUCGAUGUGUUGCUUGGGCAUUUGGACCUUGCAUUGCAGCAGUUCCCCACCUUCGACCUGUAAUAAGUGUGGAUGCAUCAUUUCUAUCAGGAAGAUACAAGGGCCGGUUGAUAAUGGCUUGCGGAUAUGAUGCUAAUAAUAAGUUAAUACCUCUUGCAUUUGCCAUUGUUGAGAAAUAGGACGCUACGAACUGGGGCUGGUUCAUGAGAUGGUUGCGGAGGGAGGUAAUUGGUGUUGGAAAGUUCAUGUGUGUGAUUUCAGAUCGCCACAAAGCAAUCAAAUGGGUGUUUAAGCAACCACACCUUGGGUGGAAUGAAAGUGCUGGCGAGUGUGUGCAUCGCUUUUGCUCUCAACAUGUCGUAGAGAACCUAUACAAAGCUUUUUGUGAUGAUGACAUUUUGAAAAUUUUCAAGUGGGCAGUCAAGAAAAAGAAACCUCGUAGGUUUGAGGAGGGCAUGUCAUCUAUUGAACAUACUUGUCCCGAUGCAACAACAUAUCUUAGAAAGGUCGGUAAGUAUUUGCAGGAAGAUAAAAAUGAGCAAGAGAAGCCUGAGAAAGUAUUUCAAUGCAAGGAUGGGGGUUACCGGUGGGGGAUCAUGACAAGCAAUGGGUCGGAGUCCUUAAACAAUGUGCUUAGGCUUUCCCGAAGGCUACCGGUGGCAGCAAUUGUGGAGGAGACAUUUUCAAAGUGCUUAGAGUGGUUUGUAGAAAGAAGGCGAAGUGCUCUUAACUUGGUUGACGGAGGCAACCAAUGGUCCGAACGGGUGGACAAACUAUUAGUUAAAAGGGGCGACAAGGCAGGACAUAUGCAUGUUAUUUCAUAUGGUGAUGAAGUUGGAAUAUUUGAGGUCAAGGUUGAUAAUGAGAGGGUUGCAUUACACAAUGGAGAUCAUGUUCUUUUUAUUCAUAAAGACUUUAAGUACAAGGUCACUCUGCAACCAAAUACUUCUUCAUCUUGUGACUGCCUAAAGCCAAACCUGACCGAUGUGCCAUGUGCUCAUUUGCUUGCUGUUUGCAAGUACAGGAAUCUAAAUGAAAAUCAAAUAGUUCAUUCAUAUUAUUCCUCUGAAGUACUUGCAAACACUUGGGCUGGACAAUUUCAUCCUUACGGGAACCAAAAUGAGCAAACACUUGGGCCCAUUAUUAUUCUUCAGGAUACUCCACUAGAUAAACCUCAGUAAAUCAUAUUCUCUCUCAGUAUGAGCUAUGCUUACGAAACCAAUGAGAAAUCAUUAAAGCUGCUGCAUCAACAAUAUCAAUCAUUUACUGUCAACUACAUACUCAGCACGGUUCAUUCCACAUAAGGAGAUGGAAGUGCUGAACACUAAGUAGCUAGACAACAACAAUAAGCCACACAUGACAUACUGACAAAUGCAGCUAUGCAGCAACGAUGAAUUCAAAAGGAUCAUCCACACAGUGGAAAACGUAGCAAAUACAGUCAUCCAUCAGCAUCUGAUUUAGAAUCAUGGAAAUGACGCAAUCAUAAGCACACUCACCAUAAUAAACCAGAUUUUGAAGGUUCUCUUUGCUAACUUUCUUAAAUACAUUGCUUUUAAUCUCGGCAAAAUUAUUGGACACCAAAAGAGCCAAUAGUGCAUUGUUAUGUUCAGGAAUAGACUUUUUUUCACUCAGUAUCAAUGUCAAUCUAUUAAUCAGAAGAAGAGACAAAUACCAUGCAAGAAAUAGAAGAUAUUUUCUAGCAUCUAUUGUAGUGUUGGAGAGGAAGAACAUACAGCUUCAGGGGAAAAGUACAGAGCCUACCAUCCUGUGCUCCGGCGGGUGAUGAUUGAGGCUGUGAGGAAUGCUGGGACGAGGAACGGAACAGUUGUGCUGACCGCGGUCGAGAGAAGAGAGAAGGGCCGUCAACUCCGUCAAACUCGCCGUGGUGGCGCAACCUAGUUUGACAGAGGUGGGAGGCUACCACGAGGUGUUCUAGGGGAUGACAGGGAGGCGGCCUUGAGGAGGUGGGCGAGAGAUGAGGUGGAGGGCGGCGGCGGCAGCGGUGGCCAAGGGGGCGAUGGGCCGAAGUUGCUGGAUAGGAGCCCAGCCUAAACGUGGACGUGAUUGAUGCUAGCGUCCAGUCCAGGACGUCGCUUAUACUAGCGUCCGUGCAUGGACGCCGUAAUGCCUAGCGUCCUUACUAUUUCUAAAAAAUGUAAUUAUCCUUUCCUCGUUUCAUAAUUCCGUGAUUACUAAUUACUAUUAAUAAAAAAUUCGGGGAUUUCAAAGUAGGUAUUAAAUAAGGAAGAAAUAUUUCUUCAGAGUCAAAUAGGGAAACGAAAUUUAAAACUGUGUUAAACAAGGAAUUCUUUCAUUGCACAAAGGGAGGUCAAAACAGUGUUUCCUAUUAGACGUGUAAAGAAUAGCUAUAUUUUUUGCAGGGGCAAGAAAUGGCUAUAUGUGAAGAUGCUUUGUACUAGGAAGGCGCUAUUAACAGAUGCUCAUACAGUUAACACAUAACAAAUCAAGAUAUUAGGUCUCUGAAAGAAAUGGAUGCUGUAAUGGGGGUAUGGGCUCCAAGUUCACACCGUGGGCUCCAAGUUCACACCAUGGGCUCCAAGUUCACACCGUGGCAGGGCUUUCUGAAAACAUAUAACAAUCGCAGGUACAAAACCCAGACAAGCUACAUAACUGAAUAAACAGCAGAGUACCAAGUAAUCAAACAAAGGCACCAGACUCAUGUAUAAAAAUCUUAAAAAGAUUGGUCUUCUCAAAAUAGAAACCACGGGCUAAAGAUAGUGUCAACACAAUGGCCAUAGCUCUAUAGGUACGGACUGGUAAUACAGGACUUUGCUUCCGGAUAAAAUUCACCAGCUAGCCAAGUUCUAUUUCUUCUU
rnacentral:lncRNA from 1 species